rnacentral:rRNA from 1 species
AGGCCCCCGGAAGACUACCGGGUUGAUAGGCGGCAGGUGUAAGCGCAGCAAUGCGUUUAGCCGAGCCGUACUAAUAGGCCGAGAGGCUUAACCAC